UACGAAGGGGGCUAGCGUUGCUCGGAAUUACUGGGCGUAAAGCGCACGUAGGCGGCUCUUUAAGUCGGGGGUGAAAUCCUGGAGCUCAACUCCAGAACUGCCUUCGAUACUGUAGAGCUUGAGUUCGGGAGAGGUGAGUGGAACUGCGAGUGUAGAGGUGAAAUUCGUAGAUAUUCGCAAGAACACCAGUGGCGAAGGCGGCUCACUGGCUCGAUACUGACGCUGAGGUGCGAAAGCGUGGGGAGCAAACAGG
rnacentral:rRNA from 1 species